AUGGAUGAAAGGAGGACGAUUUUGAUGGACCGUUAUGAAAUCGGGAGGCACUUAGGGCAAGGGAACUUUGCCAAGGUAUAUUAUGGUCGGAAUCUUGCAACUGGGCAGGCUGUUGCGAUAAAGAUGAUCGAUAAGGAGAAGGUUUCAAGGAUUGGCCUAAUUGUGCAGAUAAAGAGAGAGAUCUCAAUAAUGGGAUUGGUAAGGCAUCCCAACGUGUUGAAGCUUUUCGAGGUAAUGGCUAGCAAGAGCAAGAUUUACUUUGUUUUGGAAUAUGCCAAAGGCGGCGAGCUUUUCAACAAAAUAACCAAGGGAAAGUUAAGCGAGGAUGCUGCGAGGAGAUACUUCCAUCAGCUCAUCAGUGCCGUGGACUACUGCCAUAGCCGAGGUGUUUAUCAUCGCGACUUGAAGCCGGAGAACCUACUCCUGGAUGAGAAUGAAAACCUUAAAGUCUCUGAUUUCGGGCUAAGUGCCCUGGCCGAGUCCACGAGACAAGAUGGCCUCCUCCAUACCACCUGUGGAACUCCAGCUUAUGUUGCCCCUGAAGUGCUUAGCAGGAGAGGCUAUGACGGUGCGAAGGCUGACAUAUGGUCCUGUGGAGUAAUUCUAUUUGUGCUGGUGGCUGGUUUCCUUCCUUUCCACGACACAAAUCUUAUAGAGAUGUAUAGGAAGAUCUCCAGGGCUGAAUAUAGAUGCCCUCGCCCUUUUUCUGUUGAGCUAAAGGAUCUACUGUAUAAGAUUCUUGAUCCAGACCCAAGCACUAGGGCUUCUGUUUCAAGGAUAAAGAGAAGCGCUUGGUACAGGAAACCCGUUGAUGUAAAUGGACUGAAGAUUAAACAAGAAACAAGAGAUAAGGUUCAGAAAGGUGAACCCACAACCUCUGAAUCAACAGAAGGCAUCAAUGCAGAGGUUAACCAAGAAGCGUCAUCAAGCCUCACAAACUUGAAUGCCUUUGACAUAAUUUCUCUCUCAACUGGGUUUGACCUAUCCAAUUUGUUCGAGGAGAAGUAUGGCCGGAGGGAGGUCAGAUUUACCACUAGGCAGCCAGCAGAGGCUAUAUUUGCCAAGCUGAAUGAAGUGGCCAAGAAAUUGAAGCUCAAAAUCAAGAAGAAAGAAAACGGUGUCUUGAAAUUGGCAGCACCAAAGGAAGGAAUGAAGGGCAUUCUUGAGUUUGAUGCAGAGGUUUUUGAGUUUGCGCCUUCUUUGCAUUUAGUUGAAUUAAAGAAAACCAAUGGAGACACUAUAGAGUAUAAACAACUGAUGAAAGAUGAGAUAAGGCCCGCACUUAAGGAUGUGGUUUGGGCGUGGCAAGGCGAGUCGCACCCGCUCCCUGAGAAAUUUAUCCGAGGAGAGCAGCAGCAGUCACCUUUGCCAUCACUGCAGCAGCAAUCACCUUUGUCAUCGCAGCAGCAGCAAUCACCUUUGCCAUUGCAGCAGCACCAGCAAUCACCUUUGCCAUCGCAGCAGCCACAGGAGUAA
rnacentral:rRNA from 1 species